UGAUAUGAGUGAAAGUGGCGUGAAUUUGAGCGAGGUGUGAUCUCCUGGGCAUGGUUUGCUGGUUGGUUGGCUGAGCAAAGGGAGUAAAAGUGAUGGUCGAGGGAAAGUCGGCCUGCUUUCACCACCCAAAAAGCUGAGAUUUGGAGGUUGGAUGGAGUUGCUCAGCUCAAAGCUCAGCAGGAACAGUGCCCUUCUCCACCAUCACCAUUUUCCUCCUCGCAACCUAUGUAGCCUGACGACGAGGAGGAAGACGGACCAUUAACCAUCUCGGCGACGACGACGACGUUGCAGCUCCAGCUUCUUCUUCAGCGUCUCAAUUAACCAGAGUGGAAUCUCUUCGUCGUCCCCUCGGAGGCAACCACAUCACCCUCGUCGUCUCCCCAUCCACCAACUGAACAUCCCUCGUAGGCCAACUUUACUUACUUUGUUUCUCAACUUUCUCUCAUUUUCCAACAACAAUGUUAACUUAUUUUGAACGACCCAAUCAAUCAAAUCGUCUAAAUUGAGUAAAAUUUUAGUAGUCAAAGUACCUGAACUUUAAACAGUCUUUAUUUUAAAUUUGAUACCCCUUUCUUGUCAACUAUUGAGCAAUUGUCCAAAUUAUCAAUAAGCAAGAUCCUCCAGAAGCUUUGUAUUACUCACAACUGCGGGUCGUAUUUUUUUGUAUGAACAAAGAGAAAGUUGAGACUUUCACCAGUUACCACAUCAGAACAAGAAGACUCAUCGUCGUUCCCUCGAAAGCAACGAAAUGGGGGGAUAGAUCUCCACGGAGGGAAAAGUCUGGAUGAACCACUUUUAGAAGUUGGGAGUCCAACUUAAAAUUGCACAAAUGUCUCAACCUCCUGAGACUUUGGAGCAGCUUCAGUACAUCCGGUACACGACGAGACCACAACCAUGCUCCGCGACGUUAGGAUGGAUAAAGUCCAACCGUCUCCUGGUGUGCACAAUUCUGGGGGUGAUCAUGGGCUUCGUUACGGGAUGUUCGGGCCGAAUCUUUUCACCCACCAAGACCUUUAUCGAGCUCGUGAUCUUCCCAGGAGAAAUGUUGAUGAGGAUGCUAAAAAUGUUGAUCCUGCCUCUCAUCAUUUCCUCCUUGGUGACAGGAAUGUCACAGCUGGAUGCGAAGUCGUCAGGUCGGAUGGGCAGUCGGGCUUUGGUGUAUUACAUCGUCACCACGGUCCUGGCAGCCAUUGUUGGAAUUGUUGUCGUCGUAAGUAUCCAUCCGGGCAACACGUCCAUUAAGCAAACUAGGUUGUCGGAGACUUCGGCCAUCCCUGUUUCAACGGUGGAUGCACUUCUGGACAUCGUCAGAAACACGUUUCCUGAAAAUCUGGUGCAAGCUUGUUUCCAACAAGUGGCGACGGUCUACAAAGAAAAACCGAUGCAACCACUGCAUUUGACUGGAAACAUUUCGGCAAAUUUUACCGACGAUGUUGUCCCCGUCGUUGAGUACGAGAAGAAGUUUGUCAUGAAGGAGGGAACGAAUGUGAUGGGGAUUAUUGUCUUCUGUCUCGGAUUUGGAUUACUGCUGGGAGAGCUCGGCCAAGAGGGAAAAGUCAUGACGGACUUUUUCAGCAUUUUGAACGACGUUGUAAUGAGAAUGGUUGAGCUCAUUAUGUGGUAUUCUCCCAUCGGAAUUAUGUCACUCAUUGCUGGGAGAAUUAUGCAGAUUGGAGACCUGAGCACCACCAUGAGUCAACUUGGAAUGUACAUGAUCACUGUCAUUGUUGGUUUGGCGUUCCAUGCGUUGAUCACUUUGCCAACCAUCUACUUCACUGUGACUCGCAAGAAUCCAUGGACCUUCUUUAAAGGCAUGUUACAAGCUUGGAUCACGGCUUUGGGAACUGCGAGCAGCUCAGCGACCUUGCCCAUCACAUUUCGCUGCUUGGAGGAAAACAACCACAUUGAUAAACGUGUCACAAGGUUCGUCAUCCCGGUCGGUGCGACGGUGAACAUGGAUGGAACGGCAUUGUACGAGGCUGUUGCUGCCAUUUUCAUUGCUCAGAUGAACGGAGUCCAACUUGAUCUCGGAGAUAUCAUCACAGUCAGCUUGACAGCAACAUUGGCAUCCAUUGGGGCAGCUUCAAUUCCGAGUGCUGCAUUGAUCACCAUGCUCUUGGUCCUCUCGGCAUUGAACUUACCGACGGAAGAUGUUCCACUCUUGUUUACCGUGGAUUGGUUACUUGACCGAUUGCGAACUUCCAUCAAUGUUUUGGGUGACGCAUACGGAGCAGGAAUCGUGUAUCACCUCAGCAAGGAUGAACUUGACCGCAUGGAUUCUGAACGCCGGUUGUCUACCAUCUCAUACCGGUCCCCCGACCCGGCUAUUCCUUUGGACACCAUUCUCAGCCAACGGCGACGGUCAUCUAUCCACAAGUUGGAAACUCGCAGUGUCAUCUUGCCACCAAUUGUCAUUCCUGAUCGUACCCGAAAUGGUAAUCUGAGCGGUUCUGAGACCCAAAUCUAAACAAAACUUGCAUAACGAAAACGAUCAAAUAGACGAAAUUUUGGUUGUGUCUGCGUUUUUAAACAACCAACGCAGUCCAACCAACUGCAGGGUUUGUCGUCUCUCAUAAGAUCAAUAACAUGAAAACAACAACACUGCUCCUUUGAGUUGAUUGAUUUCUAUUGAACGUAUUUAUGAGUUUGUGGACUUGAAUUUUUAGCCUGCACAAGAGGGCUUUUUUAUUAUGAUUUACACAUUAUUGGAUUCACUCUGAGAUGGAUUUACUAUGAGAUCAAAUUGAUCUUGCGUCGCAUAUGGGGCGCAAAGAAACUUUGGAAAGUCAACACCAUCGCUUGACCAUGUCGUAUCAUUUAUCUUGCGUUCUUUGGGCUUGUACUACGACGAGUCUUGUCAAAAUAUUUCGAAGAAUGGUCAAAUAUGGGCACACAACUAAAUAUUUAGUAUCUCGAUGUUGUUGCUAUGUACGUAUUUAUGUACUACAUAUGGAAAGAGAACAUAUUCUGCAACUUGUACAUAUUGAAAAAAUCACAUAAUAAUGUGAUGUGGAUUAGUAUAUCGUAGUAGCAUCAUAGUAGUUGUAGUCGUAGUAAGUAGUUGUAGUUACAUUGACAAUUUGUAGACCUGUAGAUGUUAACAAGGUAAUGAUUGAUUUUCUGUAGGUGGAUGUUACUUUUUGCCCCUAUUGUAGGAUACAUCGUAAGCCCUGUGUAGUUAGUACGUACAUUUGUAGCUGAUUUACAAUUAGUAAUUUACAAAUCAUAUUCGUCAUGAGAUAUUUCAAUAUUGUUCACAAAGUAGCAGUAACUUUGAGGAUUGAGAAACAAUAUUAUCAAUAAUACAGCAAAGACUAGCAUUUAUGAAAUAUAAAUGAAUAGAAACUGUAUUACCUGAACAGGGUGCUUCAGUGCUUGACUGCAUGUUAAGCCAGCGUCGUAAGUAGGUGUAACAAACAUUACGAAAUUUUACCCAGGAAAAAUCACUCAUUCCUUAAUUGAAGAAUAACAAGAUAAGGCUAGACGUAGGAAAUUAUAUUUAGCAAAUAAUAAGUAUAAAACUGAUGAUAGUCAAAUAUAUGUAUUACUUACAAGGGACACUCACGACCUGUCGUUUGACUCCAGGGUACCCACUAUGUUUUUUA